UCCUUGGCAAGUUGUCCGUGUCGGAACUCCUGUGCGUUGGCGCAGCAGGCCGUCUCGGCAUUGCCUCUUCACUGGCCCUCCCGCGAGGCAUCAAGUUUCUCGCCCGGGAGGGACAUCCGUUGUUGGAUUUGUUUGUGUGGUUCUAUCCGACCGAGAAUCGAGAAACUAUGUCGGUCCCAUACUGGUUGUUCAUUGCUUGCCUGGUUGAUGAUUUAUUGUCGCCCGGGCAGCCGAAUUGUUUGGCGAAACCCUUGUGCGUCCCACGGCGAUCGCGUGGUGUCAUCACAUUUGGGUGUCGUCGGCUCUUGCGGAUGUUGUGUCCACGAUGAGUUCUACGGGCCACUGGUCCGUAGGCUGCUGUUGAAGGUCCCUUGCGCAGACCAUUGGUCUGUUGAUCACCCGACAUGUCGGAGUGAUGCGUGGGUUGCCCGUCGGAUUCGAAUGAUUCGCGAUUGCCGGCCAGCGUUGUGAGUUGAGCUUUCCCUUCCGGGACGGUUUCGAAAACAAUGCGUCCGGCUCUCCGCUUAGGANGUGC
rnacentral:misc_RNA from 1 species